ensembl:snRNA U4 U4 spliceosomal RNA
AGCUUUGCGCAGUGGCAGUAUCGUAGCCAAUGAGGUUUAUCCGAGGCGCGAUUAUUGCUAAUUAAAAAAUCAACAUUAAAAUAA